UGGAAAUUGGUGGGAUGAUGACUGUGCAGUAAACUGGCCAUUUAUCUGUAACACUGGGACACCAGAGGAACCUCAAUUUACUCGUCAAACAGAAAACAUGAACUGGUCUAGUGCUCAAAGGUUCUGCAAGGAAAACUUUGUCGACCUUGCAACUGUAAGGACUGAUGCAGAAAAUAAUAUGUUAGCGACAAUAAUACCUUCUGGCCAUUCAUGGAUCGGUCUGUUUAGAGACCCAAACUUUUUUUGGUCUGAUCAAAGCAGCUUCCUGUUUAGUGCCUGGGACUCUGUCAUUAAUCCAAUCGGCUCAAUGACAGUGAUAUGUGGUGCUACAUCUUCUGGGAGAUCAGGAAAAUGGAAAUUUUUAUCAUGUGAACAAAGAUUGCCAUUUGUCUGCUACAGUGUUCAUGUUUUCAAAAACUUAGUAAAGCUAAAACUGAAGGCAGAGGACUCCAUGGAUCUGAAUGACCCUGUUCUGAAAGAGAAAAUCCUGAAAAAGCUUCAAGACAGACUCCGGGAGAGAGGAAUGAAUGCCACCCUAAAGUGGAGCAAGGAUCUCAAUAGAGAAACUGUCAAGAAGGAGCUGUAAACUUAGAUCUGAAUUAUAAUCCCAGAUGCUUCUAGAAUUGUUUGUUUUAAAUAUCGUAUAAAUAACAAUGUUAGAGCACGGCAGCAGUAUGCACUGCUGUUUUUGUCUUUGUUAUUAAACUCAUGAGUUCAAACUUUGCUGCAGUUCAUAUAUUUCACUCAGGCAUACCAUUGUAUCUACCUUACCAAUAAUAUAUUGAUUUCUGUUUAUGCUAUAAUAAAGUCCUAAACCCUCAAAGCCAAUACUGGUCAAGCCUUAUCUCUGCAUUCAACACCAAGAUAUUAGCUGUAGAUUUUCCUGUAAGUUGUAAGGAGCAGCCUUAAGCCAAGGUAGCCUCGUAAAACCAUCCUGAUCUCGCGAGCUUUCAAGUUUUCACUCGCAGAUCAGUCUGGAGACUCUCCGUUAAAGAAAAUUUGGAGCCGUUCACCAAACGAACGUCGAAUCA